rnacentral:rRNA from 1 species
AUACGUAGGGGACAAGCGUUGUCCGGAAUGACUGGGCGUAAAGGGCGCGUAGGCGGUCUAUCAAGUCUGAUGUGAAAGGUACCGGCUCAACCGGUGAAGUGCAUUGGAAACUGGUAGACUUGAGUAUUGGAGAGGCAAGUGGAAUUCCUAGUGUAGCGGUGAAAUGCGUAGAUAUUAGGAGGAACACCAGUGGCGAAGGCGGCUUGCUGGACAAAUACUGACGCUGAGGUGCGAAAGCGUGGGGAGCGAACAGGAUUAGAUACCCUGGUAGUCCACGCCGUAAACGAUGAAUGCUAGGUGUUGGGGAAACUCAGUGCCGCAGUUAACACAAUAAGCAUUCCGCCUGGGGAGUACGACCGCAAGGUUGAAACUCAAAGGAAUUGACGGGG